UGGGCCCUACGGGAGGCAGCAGUCGAGAAUCAUUCACAAUGGGGGAAACCCUGAUGGUGCGACGCCGCGUGGGGGAAUGAAGGUCUUCGGAUUGUAAACCCCUGUCAUGUGGGAGCAAAUUAAAAAGAUAGUACCACAAGAAGAAGAGACGGCUAACUCUGUGCCAGCAGCCGCGGUAAUACAGAGGUCUCGAGCGUUGUUCGGAAUCACUGGGCGUAAAGCGUGCGUAGGCUGUUUCGUAAGUCGUGUGUGAAAGGCGCGGGCUCAACCCGCGGACGGCACAUGAUACUGCGCGACUAGAGUGG
rnacentral:rRNA from 1 species